rnacentral:rRNA from 1 species
CUGGCUCAGGAUGAACGCUGGCGGCAUGCCUAACACAUGCAAGUCGAACGGAGUUAUGAGACAGCUUGCUGUUGAGUAACUUAGUGGCGGACGGGUGAGUAACGCGUGAGUAACCUGCCUCAUACAGGGGGAUAACAACUGGAAACGGUUGAUAAUACCGCAUAAGCGCACGGUAUCGCAUGAUACAGUGUGAAAAACUCCGGUGGUAUGAGAUGGACCCGCGUCUGAUUAGCUAGUUGGCGGGGUAACGGCCCACCAAGGCGACGAUCAGUAGCCGGCCUGAGAGGGUGAACGGCCACAUUGGGACUGAGACACGGCCCAAACUCCUACGGGAGGCAGCAGUGGGGAAUAUUGCACAAUGGGGGAAACCCUGAUGCAGCGACGCCGCGUGAGCGAAGAAGUAUUUCGGUAUGUAAAGCUCUAUCAGCAGGGAAGAAAAUGACGGUACCUGACUAAGAAGCCCCGGCUAACUACGUGCCAGCCGCCGC